rnacentral:rRNA from 1 species
UACGUAGGUGACAAGCGUUUGUCCGGAUUUACUGGGCGUAAAGAGCGCGCAGGCGGUCGUUCAAGUCGAGUGUGAAAGCCCCCGGCUCAACUGGGGAGGGUCACUCGAUACUGAUCGACUCGAAGGCAGGAGAGGGUAGUGGAAUUCCCGGUGUAGUGGUGAAAUGCGUAGAUAUCGGGGAGGAACACCAGUGGCGAAGGCGACUACCUGGCCUGUUCUUGACGCUGAGGCGCGAAAAGCUAGGGGAGCAAACGGGG